rnacentral:rRNA from 1 species
GAUGAGCGCUAGCUACAGGCUUAACACAUGCAAGUCGAGGGGAAACGACAUCGAAAGCUUGCUUUUGAUGGGCGUCGACCGGCGCACGGGUGAGUAACGCGUAUCCAACCUGCCCACCACUUGGGGAUAACCUUGCGAAGGUAAGACUAAUACCCAAUGAUAUCUCUAGAGGACAUCUGAAGGAGAUUAAAGAUUUAUCGGUGAUGGAUGGGGAUGCGUCUGAUUAGCUUGUCGGCGGGGUAACGGCCCACCAAGGCGACGAUCAGUAGGGGUUCUGAGAUGAAGGUCCCCCACAUUGGAACUGAGACACGGUCCAAACUCCUACGGGAGGCAGCAGUGAGGAAUAUUGGUCAAUGGGCGAGAGCUUGAACCAGCCAAGUAGCGUGCAGGAUGACGGCCCUAUGGGUUGUAAACUGCUUUUAUAAGGGAAUAAAGUGAGCCUCGUGAGGCUUUUUGCAUGUACCUUAUGAAUAAGGACCGGCUAAUUCCGUGCCAGCCGCCGCCGUAA